rnacentral:lncRNA from 1 species
GAGAUUAAGACAGAAGAGGAGCAGCUGAGUGAACAUCCAGGAGACACAAACACCUUUCUACAUGGUACAGCCUGAAACCCACCACUCAGAUUAUAUCAGAUCAGAGGAGGAGAGGAGGAGAGGAGGAGAGGAGGAGGAGGAGAGGAGGAGAGGAGGGGAGGAGGAGAGGAGGAGAGGAGGAGAGGAGGAGGAGAGGAGAGGAGGGGGGAGAGGAGGAGAGGAGGAGGAGAGGAGAGGAGGAGAGGAGGAGGAGAGGAGGAGGAGGAGAGGAGAGGAGGAGGAGAGGAGGAGAGGAGGAGAGGAGGGGGGGAGAGGAGGAGAGGAGGAGGAGAGGAGGAGAGGAGGAGGAGAGGAGGGGGGAGAGGAGGAGAGGAGGAGGAGAGGAGAGGAGGAGGAGAGGAGGAGAGGAGGAGAGGAGGGGGGAGAGGAGGAGAGGAGGAGGAGAGGAGGGGGGAGAGGAGGAGAGGAGGAGGAGAGGAGAGGAGGAGAGGAGGAGGAGAGGAGGAGAGGAGGAGGAGAGGAGGAGAGGAGGAGGAGAGGAGGAGAGGAGAGGAGGAGGAGAGGAGAGGAGGAGAGGAGGAGGAGAGGAGAGGAGAGGAGGAGAGGAGGAGGAGAGGAGAGGAGGAGAGGAGGAGGAGAGGAGGAGAGGAGGAGAGGAGGAGAGGAGAGGAGAGGAGGGGAGGAGGAGAGGAGGGGGGAGAGGAGGGGAGAGGAGGAGGAGGAGGAGGAGGAGGAGGAGAGGAGGAGGAGGAGGAGAGGAGGAGGAGAGGAGAGGAGGAGGAGAGGAGGAGGAGGAGAGGAGGAGGAGAGGAGAGGAGGAGGAGGAGGAGAGGAGAGGAGGAGAGGAGGAGGAGAGGAGGAGAGGAGGAGAGGAGGAGAGGAGGAGGAGAGGAGGAGGAGGAGGAGAGGAGAGGAGGAGGAGAGGAGGAGGAGAGGAGGAGAGGAGGAGAGGAGGAGGAGAGGGAGAGGAGGAGAGGAGGAGGAGAGGAGGAGGAGAGGAGGAGGAGAGGAGGAGGAGAGGAGGAGGAGGAGGAGGAGGAGAGGAGGAGGAGAGGAGGAGAGGAGGAGGAGGAGGAGAGGAGGAGAGGAGGAGAGGAGAGGAGGAGAGGAGGAGAGGAGAGGAGGGAGGAGGAGGAGGAGAGGAGGAGAGGAGGAGGAGAGGAGGAGGAGAGGAGGAGAGGAGGAGAGGAGGAGGAGAGGAGGAGAGGAGGAGGAGGAGAGGAGGAGAGGAGAGGAGGAGGAGAGGAGGAGGAGGAGGAGGAGGAGAGGAGGAGGAGGAGGAGAGGAGGAGAGGAGGAGAGGAGAGGAGGAGAGGAGGAGGAGAGGAGGAGGAGGAGGAGGAGAGGAGGAGAGGAGGAGGAGAGGAGGAGAGGAGGAGAGGAGGAGGGGAGGAGGAGAGGAGGAGAGGAGG